UGGGGAAUAUUGCACAAUGGGCGCAAGCCUGAUGCAGCCAUGCCGCGUGUAUGAAGAAGGCCUUCGGGUUGUAAAGUACUUUCAGUCGGGAGGAAGGUGGUAAGGUUAAUAACCUUAUCAAUUGACGUUACCGACAGAAGAAGCACCGGCUAACUCCGUGCCAGCAGCCGCGGUAAUACGGAGGGUGCAAGCGUUAAUCGGAAUUACUGGGCGUAAAGCGCACGCAGGCGGUUGAUUGAGUCAGAUGUGAAAUCCCCGGGCUUAACCCGGGAACUGCAUCUGAUACUGGCAAGCUUGAGUCUCGUAGAGGGGGGUAGAAUUCCAGGUGUAGCGGUGAAAUGCGUAGAGAUCUGGAGGAAUACCGGUGGCGAAGGCGGCCCCCUGGACAAAGACUGACGCUCAGGUGCGAAAGCGUGGGGAGCAAACAGG
rnacentral:rRNA from 1 species